rnacentral:lncRNA from 1 species
AUUGGAAUUACUUUGGGAGUCAAAAGUUGCAAUCCGUGAUUAUGGAGGCAAAAUCAGUUCCACCGAACUACGAGUAUGUUUGGUUUCACGUUUGAAAAACCUAUAAUUGAUUUUGAUAUGUUUCGUUGCUAUUGAGUAGAAUUUAUUAUGUUUUUAGAAUUGAUUCUUGAAGCUAUGAUUUGUAGCUUGAGUUGAGUCUAAACUUGAUUUUUACACUUUCACUUUUGCAUAAAUUUAUUCAAACAUCAGUCACUUACCUUUUUAACUCACUUUUAACCAAAAUCAAUUUUACACUAUCAAUUCAAUUAAAAUCAAUUUUUUCUACCAAUCGUUUGUUGGUCCGGUGGUGAUUGACACUGGACUUGGUUGAGAGGACUACGGUUUGAUCUCCUGCAACUGCUAUUAGGAGGGGCCUGGAAACCACUUGACGCCAAAACUGAACUCGGACCGGAUUAGUCGGUCUAAUGAACCGGAUACUGGUGUUUGAAAACCCCCCAAAAAAUAAAAAUCAAUUAAUCCAUACACUUGAGAAUAUAAGUUAAAGUUCUACAGUUUAUUUUGUUCUACUUUUAAUGUUCACUUCAAACUGCUAGUUCCUAUAUAAGUUAUUUUCUUGUUUCCUCCUAUUUAGAGUCGCGGAAGUUUUCUCUUCAUCGGACUAGAGCUUCUUCUUCUGAUGAUACAUCUACUUCUCUCGAUACCAAUGAGUUGUUUACCGAUUUGAAGGAGAAGGCAAGAAGCUUAUAUAAUUUGUUGAAUUCAAUAAUUUUAGUUUCAUGUUGAUUUAUCUUCUGUCAAAUCCAUAAUGUUUCAUUUUCUAUUCUAAAUAAGAAACACAAACUGACAUGACACUAGCACAUUGGAGUCAUGACGAUACCAGAUACACCUUUAAUUUGGAGUGUUGGUGCUAACCCUAUUGUCUUUUAUAGUUUUACUAACAAAGUAGAAAUUAUAUCUUCCUGCAUUUUGCAUUAUCAGUGGGAUGGUCUUGAAAACAAGUCCACAGUGCUUCUGUAUGGUGGUGGUGGUUUGGUUGCUGUUUGGUUAUCUUCAAUUCUUGUAGGUGCCAUCAACUCAGUCCCCUUGGUAAGCCAGAAUUCACUUCUUUUACAUUGAGUACUAUCGAAUGCAAUGCUUCGGUUUUCUGCUCUAUAAGGCAUUUUGAAGUUCGAACCAAUAUAAAACAACUUUAUUUAUUUUUCAGCUUCCAAAGAUUAUGGAGUUGGUAGGACUAGGGUACACUGGAUGGUUUGUCUACCGGUACCUUCUGUUUAAGGUAUGCCAAAUGCAUAAUUCAUUCAUCAAUAUGUUGUUUUCUGAAAAUGAGAAAUUGAAGAAAUUCAAAAGUGGCAUGAUUAUCGAUGAAGUCAACUCCUAAAAUACAAAUCGCCAUUUAGUAUGUAUAUUGCUUAGGUUCCAAACACAAAUUUCUCGCAUUUUAUGACAGACCAUAUUAGAAUGUCUGUGUACUUUCUUGCAUCGGAUAUCCUCUUUCUGUAAUCAGAAUCCGAUUCAUUGUUCUAUUUAUAAUCGCGCAUGUAUUAGUCAGUAGAUUUCUCAUAUGUGAUAUAACUGUUUUUGUAUACAGUCUAGUAGAAAGGAACUAGCUACGGAUAUUGAGGCACUGAAAAAGAAAAUUGCCGGAACCGAAUAGAGCUGUAUUAGUAGCAAGUCAUGUUGAUCUUCCUUGCUCAUCAUUUGUUUGUUUUGCUGUAUGUCUUGUUAUAUGAGAGGCAUUUGUAUCUCUUGAUAUAGAAUAGAAUUGCUCAAUCUCUAUCAGUAUCAACCUUGUAUUAAUCCAUUUCAUUGUUGAAAAUAAUGCAGCAAAUCUUAUAUAUAUGUUUAUGAUUCUGAAUGAAAAUCAUUCAUAUUUUUACUUGGCAUAGGGUAAAUUACAUAUUGGUUCUUGGUAUAAAAUAUCAUAUGAUGAUCUUGUAAAUAUUUUUUAACCAUGAGAUUUUACUUUUAAAAAACAUUUAUUUUAAUCAUUUGCAUUUAUUUUUCAUUACCAUUACUUUUUCAAAAUUAAGUUAUUGAUAUUUACCAACAUGAUACAAUCUUAAUAUCAUAUAUUAAAUUUAAUAAUUUUUUCAAAAUGUAAUUUGGAUGAUUUGAUAGAUUGAUGAUUUUUUCAUUUGAAAAUCAUGUAAAAUUUCUUUAUACUAACGCAUUUAUGUAUUUUAAACUCAUAUUAUUACUUUUUUGAAAUUUGAUAUCUCACCCUAAUCUUGGGAGUACAUUAUAUUAUUAGAUCUCAAACAUUGACGUAGUUCAAUUUAUUAGUAACAAACUAGAUAAAGAGACAAGAAACAAUGAUGUUGAAAUGAAUCAACCUAUUGGUUGAAGAUCACAGUGUUGUUGAAAUGGAAAGGGAGGAUCAAAAUAUGAUCCAUUAAGAAUAGCAUGUGUUAUAAGCUUGUUUGCAGCUUCUGUGGUGUGUAUCCCAUCCCAACUCACAUACUUGUAAGGGUCAUCACAUGCUGUCGCUGUCACUUUUUUCCCAUCGAUCUCUUUACUCUCUCCACAAUAAACUUUAGGAUUGAAGUUGUACUCACCACCUCCAUAUCCACAACAUGCUUUUGUACCAUACUCAAGUCCUGUUUCAAAUAAUCCAAAAACAUAAAAAUCACACACAAAGACAAAUCACGGGCAUCAACAAUAUGUGUCUGAUGUCGGACAUUGACACAUACGUAUUAGAUUAGACACGUUACAUGUCUAAUAUCAUAAGUGUCAGUGAUAUGUAUCAUAAAAAACUAUAACAAGGUUGAUGAGUGUUUGUACCAUGAGAAGAAGGAUGUUGGAAGAGCUCUAACAGAACAGUGUAGGUAUCCACAUAAAUGACAGAAGCAUCUGAUAAAUUUUCAUAUAACAAGGUUGAUGAGUGUUUGUACCAUGAGAAGAAGGAUGUUGGAAGAGCUCUAACAGAACAGUGUAGGUAUCCACAUAAAUGACAGAAGCAUCUGAUAAAUUUUCUCUAGUUUGUUUCAGUGAUUCUUUCAACAUGUUGUUAUAGUUCACAACGGCAUUGUUGUAAGAAACCUUGCAUCCAAAUUCGUCCCGUUCUGUACUAUUAUGAGGAAGCCCUACCAAGAAUGCAGGGUAGCACCCUACUGGUGCAAGAUUAAGCACCAUAAAUGUUCUCCCACCAAGAUUAUACAGCUCCUACAAAUUUCAUUGAGAAAAAUCCAUGUUAAUAAUCAUUUUCUGAUUUACCAUAACAGAAGAACACAACACACUAUGUUUGGUGUCGAGUCUCUUGAUAAACUAAUAAUAGACAUAAAUUACUCUUACUUUAAUGGCUGCAACAAUUUGUGAAACAACUUGAGGGAGAAACUCUUCCAUUCCACCCUUGCCGAUGUCUGCUAACUUGGAAGUAAAAUCAUUUUGGCCAAUAUAAAAUGUAUAUAGAGAUUUUCCAAAUACAUCCGGUGAAGGAAGAUUCAUAUCUGAUCGACAAUGAAAAAAUCGGCGCAUUACAACAGAAUCAUAUGCAAUUUUCUUACAUCAUUUCAAAAGUAUUGGAGACAGUUAUACUAUCCGUUUUGAACCUUUUUGAUCAGCUUCUGUAACUUUGGCAACGAAUUGCUUCAUCUGGUUGAGCUGAAUAGCAAGGGAGAAAGGGCUGAUUCCGGAGACAAACACAGAAGUAUUAGAUUCUCGCAUUUUAUGACAGACCAUACUAGAAUGUCUAUGUGUACUUUCUUGCAUCGGAUAUCCUCUUUCUGCAAUCAGAAUUCGAUUCGUUGUUUUAUUUAUAUUUGCUCAUGUCUUAAACAGUAUAUUUCUCAUAUAUGUUGAUCUUCCUUGCUCAUCAUUUGUUUGUUUUGCUGUAUGUCUUGUUAUAUGAGAGACAUUUGUAUCUCUUGAUAUAGAAUAGAAUUGCUCAAUCUCUAUCAGUAUCAACCUUGUAUUAAUCCAUUUCAUUGUUGAAAAUAGU